rnacentral:rRNA from 1 species
AAGACCUUCUUACGAAGGUAUGCUUAAAGAGGGGCUUGCGCCACAUUAGUUAGUUGGUAGGGUAAAAGCCUACCAAGACGAUGAUGUGUAGCUGGACUGAGAGGUUGAACAGCCACAUUGGGACUGAGACACGGCCCAAACUCCUACGGGAGGCAGCAGUAGGGAAUUUUCGGCAAUGGAGGAAACUCUGACCGAGCAACGCCGCGUGAACGAUGAAGUAUUUCGGUAUGUAAAGUUCUUUUAUUGAAGAAGAAAAAGUAGUGGAAAAACUAUAUUGACGUUAUUCAAUGAAUAAGCCCCGGCUAACUAUGUGCCAGCAGCCGCGGUAAGACAUAGGGGGCGAGCGUUAUCCGGAAUUAUUGGGCGUAAAGGGUGCGUAGGCUGUUAGAUAAGUCUAUAAUUUAAUUUCAGUGCUUAACGCUGUCUUGUUAUAGAAACUGUCUUGACUAGAGUGAGAUAGAGGCAAGCGGAAUUCCAUGUGUAGCGGUAAAAUGUGUAAAUAUAUGGAGGAACACCAGAAGCGUAGGCGGCUUGCUGGGUCUUUACUGACGCUGAGGCACGAAAGCGUGGGUAGCAAACAGGAUUAGAUACCCUGGUAGUCCACGCCGUAAACGAUGAGUACUAAGUGUCGGGGUAAAACUCGGUACUGAAGUUAACACAUUAAGUACUCCGCCUGAGUAGUACGUACGCAAGUAUGAAACUUAAAGGAAUUGACGGGACUCCGCACAAGCGGUGGAUCAUGUUGUUUAAUUCGAAGAUACACGAAAAAUCUUACCAGGUCUUGACAUACUCUGCAAAGCUAUAGAAAUAUAGUGGAGGUUAUCAGGGAUACAGGUGGUGCAUGGUUGUCGUCAGUUCGUGUCGUGAGAUGUUAGGUUAAGUCCUAAAACGAGCGCAACCCUUGUCGUUAAUUGCCAGCACGUAAUGGUGGGGACUUUAGCGAGACUGCCAAUUAAACAUUGGAGGAAGGUGAGGAUUACGUCAAAUCAUCAUGCCCCUUAUGAUCUGGGCUACAAACGUGAUACAAUGGCUGUGACAAAGAGUAGCUGAAACGCGAGUUUUUAGCCAAUCUCAAAAAAGCAGUCUCAGUUCGGAUUGAAGUCUGUAACUCGACUUCAUGAAGUUGGAAUCGCUAGUAAUCGCGAAUCAGCAUGUCGCGGUGAAUACGUUCUCGGGGUUUGUACACACCGCCCGUCAAACCACGAAAGUUAGCAAUACC